rnacentral:tRNA from 1 species
GGGAAUGGCUCAGUGGUAGAGCGCUGCCUUGCCAAGGCAGAUGUCGCGAGUUCGAAUCUCGUUUCCC